GGAUAAGUACUGAAAGCAUCUAAGUACGAAGCCGCCCCUGAAAAGAGAUAUCAUAGA
rnacentral:rRNA from 1 species